UACGUAGGGUGCAAGCGUUGUCCGGAAUUAUUGGGCGUAAAGAGCUUGUAGGCGGUUUGUCGCGUCUGCUGUGAAAUUUCGGGGCUCAACCCCGAACUUGCAGUGGGUACGGGCAGACUAGAGUGUGGUAGGGGAGACUGGAAUCCUGGUGUAGCGGUGAAAUGCGCAGAUAUCAGGAGGAACACCGAUGGCGAAGGCAGGUCUCUGGGCCAUAACUGACGCUGAGAAGCGAAAGCAUGGGGAGCGAACAGG
rnacentral:rRNA from 1 species